AACGAACGCUGGCGGCAUGCCUAACACAUGCUAGUCGAACGAGACCUUCGGGUCUAGUGGCGCACGGGUGCGUAACGCGUGGGAACCUGCCCUUAGGUUCGGAAUAACUCCCCGAAAGGGGUGCUAAUACCGGAUAAUGUCUUCGGACCAAAGAUUUAUCGCCUUUGGAUGGGCCCGCGUUGGAUUAGCUAGUUGGUAGGGUAAAAGCCUACCAAGGCGACGAUCCAUAGCUGGUCUGAGAGGAUGAUCAGCCACACUGGGACUGAGACACGGCCCAGACUCCUACGGGAGGCAGCAGUGGGGAAUAUUGGACAAUGGGCGAAAGCCUGAUCCAGCAAUGCCGCGUGAGUGAUGAAGGCCUUAGGGUUGUAAAGCUCUUUUACCCGGGAUGAUAAUGACAGUACCGGGAGAAUAAGCUCCGGCUAACUCCGUG
rnacentral:rRNA from 1 species